rnacentral:rRNA from 1 species
GGUCAAGCUACGAAGAGCGCAUGGUGAAUGCCUUGGCACUAGGAGCCGACGAAGGACGCGAUAAGCUGCGAUAAGCUUUGGGUAGGCGCAAAUAGCCUGUGAUCCAGAGAUUUCCGAAUGGGGCAACCCACACAGUAAAAACUGUGUACUGUAUACUGAAUACAUAGGUGUAUGGAGGUAACUCAGGGAACUGAAACAUCUAAGUACCUGAAGGAAGAGAAAGAAACAUCGAUUUCCUAAGUAGCGGCGAGCGAAAUGGAAAGAGCCCAAACCAGUCCCUAACGGGAUUGGGGUUGCGGACAGUUCAUAAAUAAAAGCAGGAGUUAAUCGAAGAGAACUGGAAAGUUCCAUCAUAGAAGGUAAUAGUCCUGUAGAUGAAAACGGAAGCUUUUAGAACUGAUCCAGAGUACCACGAGACACGAGAAACCUUGUGGGAAGCAGGGAGGACCACCUCCCAAGGCUAAAUACUACCUAGUGACCGAUAGUGAAGAAGUACCGUGAGGGAAAGGUGAAAAGAACCCCGGGAGGGGAGUGAAAUAGAACCUGAAACCGUGCGCUUACAAACAGUCGAAGGGCAUUAAAGCCUGACGGCGUGCUUUUUGUA